UGUUCAUAGUGGAUAAUCGUCCUAAUUUAUUAGGGAGGAAAGUCCGAACACGCAGCCGCUCAUUUGUGGCAAAAGUAGCGGGUAACGCCCGUCUGGAGCGAUCCAAGAGGUGCGAACAGAAACGUCCAAAGCCGAAAGGCUAAGGAAAGCUAAAUCCCAUGUUCUUGUUUAAUCAGGAAUAACAGCUUAACUUUGAUCGGGGGAAAAGAAGAUUGAAGGUGAAACGGCAAAAUCCUUACUCGCGUGCAAGAGCAGAGUCCCGACUUCACGUCGGGAUAAAAAGUUCGCUCGCUGAUGAUUGUGUCAGUAAUGAUGCAACUAGAGAAAUGAUUAUCACCCUUUCGGGGGGAACAGAAUUCGGCUUAUAGCUAUGAAUAAAAA
rnacentral:RNase_P_RNA from 1 species